CCUGCGGAAGGAUCAUUAAUGAAAUGAAUGUCGAGAAGGGUUGUAGCUGGCCUCUCGGGGCAUGUGCACGCCUUGAUCGCACAUCCACCUCUCACCCCCUGUGCACCAUCUGUAGCUUGGGAUGAUUACAAAGUUGGAAACAGCUUUGAAAGCCCUCGCUAUGAAUUUUUCUAUACACCAUACAAAAGACACAGAAUGUAUAAAGUUAUAUAGCGUGUAACAGCGCGAAUAAAUACAACUUUCAGCAACGGAUCUCUUGGCUCUCGCAUCGAUGAAGAACGCAGCGAAAUGCGAUAAGUAAUGUGAAUUGCAGAAUUCAGUGAAUCAUCGAAUCUUUGAACGCACCUUGCGCUCCUUGGUAUUCCGAGGAGCAUGCCUGUUUGAGUGUCAUGAAAUCUUCAACUGCUUCAGCUUUUAUGGUUGUGGUGAAGUUGGACUUGGAGGAUAAUUGCUGGCGUAACUUAGGUUGCUUGUUGGCUCCUCUUGAAUGAAUGAGCUUUCCAGUAGAUCAUGGUGAAGUAACACUGAUGUGAUAACUAUCUACAUUGGAUGUGAAAGCCUUGAGCAGAGAGGACUUUAUUAGAACUCUCCUACAGGAAAGGUGGUAUAACAUCUUUGGGAGAAAUUCCUAUUGAUGAACUCGAUGACAAAUUUGACCUCAAAUCA
rnacentral:rRNA from 1 species